rnacentral:rRNA from 1 species
UACGUAGGGGGCAAGCGUUGUCCGGAAUCAUUGGGCGUAAAGCGCGUGUAGGCGGUUCGGUAAGUCGGCUGUGAAAGUCCAGGGCUCAACCCUGGGAUGCCGGUCGAUACUGCCGGACUAGAGUUCGGAAGAGGCGAGUGGAAUUCCCGGUGUAGCGGUGAAAUGCGCAGAUAUCGGGAGGAACACCAAUGGCGAAGGCAGCUCGCUGGGACGUUACUGACGCUGAGACGCGAAAGCGUGGGGAGCAAAAGGG